CAGUAGCCGCGGGAAUACGAAGGGGGCUAGCGUUGCUCGGAAUCACUGGGCGUAAAGGGUGCGUAGGCAGGUCUUUAAGUCAGGGGUGAAAUCCUGGAGCUCAACUCCAGAACUGCCUUGAUACUGAAGAUCUUGAGUUCGGGAGAGGUGAGUGGAACUGCGAGUGUAGAGGUGAAAUUCGUAGAUAUUCGCAAGAACACCAGUGGCGAAGGCGGCUCACUGGCCCGAUACUGACGCUGAGGCACGAAAGCGUGGGGAGCAAACAGGAUUAGAUACCCGAGUAGUCCCUGUCUCUUAUACA
rnacentral:rRNA from 1 species